CGCUGGCGGCAGGCCUAACACAUGCAAGUCGAGCGGAAACGAUGGUAGCUUGCUACCAGGCGUCGAGCGGCGGACGGGUGAGUAACGCGUGAGAAUCUGCCCAUUUGUGGGGGAUAACUCGGGGAAACUCGAGCUAAUACCGCAUAAUCCCUACGGGGGAAAGCAGGGGACCUUCGGGCCUUGUGCAGAUGGAUGAGCUCGCGUCGGAUUAGCUUGUUGGUGAGGUAAAGGCUCACCAAGGCGACGAUCAGUAGCUGGUCUGAGAGGAUGAUCA
rnacentral:rRNA from 1 species